UAGUGGCGAACGGGUGAGUAACACGUGGGCAAUCUGCCCUUCACUCUGGGACAAGCCCUGGAAACGGGGUCUAAUACCGGAUACGAGUUUCACGGGCAUCCGUGAUUCUGGAAAGCUCCGGCGGUGAAGGAUGAGCCCGCGGCCUAUCAGCUUGUUGGUGAGGUAAUGGCUCACCAAGGCGACGACGGGUAGCCGGCCUGAGAGGGCGACCGGCCACACUGGGACUGAGACACGGCCCAGACUCCUACGGGAGGCAGCAGUGGGGAAUAUUGCACAAUGGGCGAAAGCCUGAUGCAGCGACGCCGCGUGAGGGAUGACGGCCUUCGGGUUGUAAACCUCUUUCAGCAGGGAAGAAGCGAAAGUGACGGUACCUGCAGAAGAAGCGCCGGCUAACUACGUGCCAGCAGCCGCGGUAAUACGUAGGGCGCAAGCGUUGUCCGGAAUUAUUGGGCGUAAAGAGCUCGUAGGCGGCUUGUCACGUCGGGUGUGAAAGCCCGGGGCUUAACCCCGGGUCUGCAUUCGAUACGGGCUAGCUAGAGUGUGGUAGGGGAGAUCGGAAUUCCU
rnacentral:rRNA from 1 species